GGGUGAUGGAUAGCUUGGGGAGUGAGAAAUUGCUUGCUGAUUAGCUGGACCCUCCUCACAAUCCCAAUGUUCCUCCAGAGUGACUGCUACAGCCAUUCGAGCAGGUAGAAGCAGAUAAGAAUGUCUCAAGGUGGGAAGGAAAGCAUUUGUCUAGGGAAACUUUGAAAACAUGACGGUGUGUGCCUUGGGGCCAGCACCCAGGGGCCUGCUGGUGUCCCUGGGCAGAAAUAGCCCAUUUCAUCAUCAGCUCUGGAGAGUCUAGCCUGCAUUCCUCGAGUAAGGAGCCACUCUCUGCUGAGCUUUUGGAGCAAAGAUCUGCCCAGCUGCAGGCUGGGGACAGGCCAGGCUGGGGCUCAGGGGACAGUGCAGACGGUCAUGAAUUAUCAGGAGCAGCAGACCCUGCUUGCUAGCCUCACACUGGGCUGCAGAACACAUCAGUGAACAGACCCACCAAUGAAUACAGCAGCCCAGAUGAUCCAAGCACUUACCAAACCUGGCCUCUGAGCGCCUGAGAGAUUUUGGAGUCCUUCUUCACCUGAUUCAUAAAACCGUCUGUGCUAAUGAAUAUUUAUGUGAGCCUGCUGGGGAUGCUCACAUUGACAUCUGAGCUUGAUCUCUCACUGCCAGCCCACUCUGCAUGACUAUUGGGUGCUCAGCCUAGAGAACUGAGAAGCAGAGUUCUGUCCACCUCAGGAGCUGUGGCUUCUCUCCUCCACCGGAGAAGCAGAGAAAAUAAAGAGCCAGUGGGAUCCACCAGCAAAUGCUCUGCUGUGCAACUCCUGCGCCCUCAACACAAACCAACCUGAGCUGGCUGUGGACAGAGCAUGUGAGCAACAGGUUCCUGAGACAUCACUCACCCUUCCUGGCUUCUGAUGGGCAGCCACCAUUCCCCACUGCUCAGAGAAAGAAUGCCUCUCCAGCAUCUGGUAGUUUUCUUCAAGGUCACUUCAUGGGCCAAGUUGAUGAAAAAAGAUCCAGCCAUCACACCAGCAUUCCAGGCUGGAAGCACAAAGGAGGCUGCUCUUCCCAGUUGCACAGACUUCCCAGCAUUUCCAUAGAACAAUUCACUUCCAUUCCACUGGCCAGGAGCAGUCAUACCAUUACUUUUAACUGCGAGGCAGAAAAGUCAAUAAAGAUUUUAGCUGGUGCCUUUUGUCCUGACUGAAGAAACCAGGGAUCUGUAAUGGAGGAGAAAAUGAGAAUAAAGGGUGAUGUUGACAUCCACUGUGUCUACUGCAAGAUCCCCUAUGUGCUGUGGGUUGCAGAGCCAUGGCCUGGGUCCUGGUCACCAUGACAGUUGCUCCUAGAGCACCUGCCUGUUAGGAGCAUGGCCAGCCACCUGGACCUCAGUUCUGCAGAUCAGAGAAGAGGAAGAGCCAGUGACCCCACUGUCACCCCACUUUGCACUUGGACCUGCUUUCUUGUGAUGCACCAACAGUAGCAUGAUACCCAGGGUGCGCAGGUACAGCCAGUGCCAUUCAGGGCUGAUGUGAGAAAGCUUCCAGGAGCCUUGGCUGCAGACUGAACUUCCCAGAAUGGGGUAACCCCUGCCAGGUGACCUGGGAUGAAACCAAAGCUAUAAGGAAGUAGACACUGCCCAAACAGACCCAUUUUCCCUGAAAAUAGGAGAUGCGCAGCACCCAGCCAAAAAGUGCCCUGUCUGCCUGAGUGAGCCUGUGGGGGAAGUUCCCUCAUGAGAAGCUGCCUAUUGGGAUCUGAUGUUAACUAAUCCUUCUCAAGCUGUUCUGCUUCCUUGUUUCACCUUGAUAAAAUCAAUCUUUCUGCCACACCAAACUGAAUACUCAUUCUAUUUUAUUCAAGAAUCUUGAAUAAAACCACAAACAGUGAUGCAGGCCUGUAAUCCCAGCACUCUGGGAGACUGAGGGGUGGACUACAAGUCUGAGCCUAAUCUGGGCAAUUUAGGGACUUAGUGAGACUCUGUCACAAAAUAAAAAAUGAAAAGAGUUGAGGAUGUAGCUCAGGGCAAAAACCCUGAGUUUAAUCCCCAGAAUCACAAAGGAAAAAAAAUGUUUCUCGAUAAAAGCCAAUUUAGUCUUUAAAAUGUUGCAGUUUUGUCUUUUGACACUAAAACUGAAGACCACUCAGUCCUAGAUAAAGUUAAUGGUGAAAGGGAUUGGGUGAAGCUGGCUGAUUCCUGAAGGUAUAAGGUUCUGGGUAUGUGGGGUAAAGCCCCCACACAGAAUGGGGAGGGUGCACUGCUUCCUGCCUGGGAGUGAGGCCAGGUGUCUGUUGCAUGGAAGACAAUUUUUCCAUGGUUUGAGGGAGAGGGGGUGGUGGUGGUGGGGAUGGUUUGGGGAUGAUUCAAGUGCAUUGCACUUACUGUGCACUUUGUUUCCAUUAUUAUUACACUGUGAACGUACAACAAAAUAAUUACACAACUUGCCAUAACGCAGAAUCAGUGGGAUCUUGCCAGUAGACAGUUCCAUCUGAGGGUAAUGGGAGACAGUGACACCUGAAAUGUUUUGCUAUGUCCAGUCCAUGCUGUAAUUUCAUUUUGGUUUCUGUCACUGGAGAAAACCUUGCUUCACAAAGACAGGAAGUUGGAAAUGGGAGCAGGCUUUUCAGGGCUUUUGUGAGAAUCUCAGGAUUUAGCUCAGGACAUGUGGAGAUUUGAAGUUGUCUCAAACAUCCUUCUAAGGCCACUGCCAUGUGUGAUCUCAAGUGGUUGAUCCUCUUUGAGCACAGACAAAGUCGAUUCACUUGGCUUAUUCACAAAUGAGUUGCAAUCCAUUCCUCCCUAAAAUGGCUGGGAAACAAUGGUCAAACUCCUUUGAAAGGUGAGAUAGGUGAUCAUUAUCAGUUGGGAGAAAGAAGGCCCAGGCUCAGUUUCUUUCCAAAUCUCUGCUAGUGUAUGAAACAUCAAAAAUCCCUAUGUUGGGCCAGGGAUUUAGCUCAGUGGUUCUGCUGCUUGCCUCACAAGCGCAAGGACCAGAGUUCAAUCCCUGGAACCAAAAAAACCCAAAAAACAAAACAAACCAUAAAAAUCCCUAUUUAUUUUACUCAUUCCCUCUAUAAUUCCAGUUUAGCUUUGAGUGCAGUCACUUUUUCUGCCAACUUGAACAUAGUAAUUUGUCUCCCCUGCAGUGGCAGGUUGAGCAGGUUAGAUAUGUUAUACGAGUAAGUAAGUUUAGGAACCCAUUCUAUGUCACCAAAAUGUACUGCCAGUGGUGACUGUUUUUCUAGAAGAAAUCCUGUAAUGGCUCCACUAACUUAAAAACUCGGCCCAGUGACCGACCUUUAGAAAGCCAUCUCACUUUAUCAGAGAGGACAUGUGGUUCUGUGUCCAUCUCCUUCCAGAGCUGCACAAACAGAUGUGAAUUAAGGGCAUGUACUUUAAUAUGGUUCCUUCACAAAACAUGAAGUUCAAGUGACAGUUUUUGUCUAGCCAGCCUUUCUCUAUGGAUGAUGGUGCAGACUCACAUUCAGAAGCAACCUCUUUGACAUAAGUAGUGAAACCACAGAGCUAUCCAGUCAUGGCAGCUACACUGUCCAUGCAUACGCCAACACAAAAUGACCAGUCCAGUUUUCCAGAAAUGUAAUCAUUCACAGAUUUGAAUAGUUCUGCAGCAAAAGUGCAUAUAACAUCUUCAUGUACAUUCUCCUGAAAAGUAGAGUGCG
ensembl:lncRNA